rnacentral:rRNA from 1 species
UACGUAGGUGGCAAGCGUUGUCCGGAAUUACUGGGCGUAAAGAGCUCGUAGGUGGUUUGUCGCGUUGUUCGUGAAAACCGGGGGCUUAACCCUCGGCGUGCGGGCGAUACGGGCAGACUUGAGUACUGCAGGGGAGACUGGAAUUCCUGGUGUAGCGGUGGAAUACGCAGAUAUCAGGAGGAACACCGGUGGCGAAGGCGGGUCUCUGGGCAGUAACUGACGCUGAGGAGCGAAAGCGUGGGGAGCGAACAGG